UGGAAGUAAAAAGUCGUAACAAGGUCUCCGUUGGUGAACCAGCGGAGGGAUCAUUAGAGAGUUCUCAUAAAACUCCCAAACCCAUGUGAACAUACCUUCUGUUGCCUCGGCAGGUCGCGCCGGCGCCGAACCGCGUAGCGCCCUACCUCCGGUAGGGCCUACCCGGGACGAGCCGGCGGUCUCCCCUGCCGGCGGCCCACGAAAUUCUGUUUUAGCAUAUUGAAUUCUGAACGUAUAACUAAAUCAGUUAAAACUUUCAACAACGGAUCUCUUGGUUCUGGCAUCGAUGAAGAACGCAGCGAAAUGCGAUAAGUAAUGUGAAUUGCAGAAUUCAGUGAAUCAUCGAAUCUCUGAACGCACAUUGCGCCCAUUAGUAUUCUAGUGGGCAUGCCUGUUCGAGCGUCAUUUCAACCCUCAAGCCCCCGUUGCUUGGUGUUGGGAGCCUACUGGGUCACCUGUAGCUCCCCAAAGUUAGUGGCGGAGUCGGUUCGCACUCUAGACGUAGUAGAUUUUCACCUCGCCUGUAGUGCCGGACCGGUCCCCUGCCGUAAAACACUCCUUAUCUCCAAAGGUUGACCUCGGAUCAGGUAGGAAUACCCGCUGAACUUAAGCAUAUCAAUAAGCGGAG
rnacentral:rRNA from 1 species